rnacentral:lncRNA from 1 species
GAGAACCUAAGCAUCGGAACUUAGCCAAUGUCAUGCUUGUAGAACUUGUAAGAGAUAUUAAAAUGUAGUUUUAAACGUCAUUUAGUUUCCAGGCAGAACAUUAAAAAAAAAGAAGGAAAGAAAACUGAUGCCAUAAUGAUUGUGGUUUAACCAUGCGUGGCAAGUGUCUUAUGCAAGUUUAUAAUGCUAUGUCCUUAGCAAAGUCAAACACAAGAUCCUGUUUAUUUGAUAACUUGUUAUUUUGCCAUUCAUUUAGUUAUAUAUCGUCUUUCUGAAUACACUAGUGUAAUGUGAUAUAUUAUCCACCAAUAGAUUGGCUACCUAGAAUAGGAGGACAAUAAUUUACAGGUGUUCAACAGGUUUGGGACAGAGAUUUUCAUGUUAUCAGAAUUUAUGGUUAUUACAUCAACAUUAGGUUUUAACAAAUUUUUGAUUUCAGUAUAUUUUGCUGAUAUUGUGUUUAUAGAGCAUUAAUUAUGGAAAUGGCUACAUUUUGACAAUGGACGUCUGAAAUCACUUUGUCUAGCGUAGCAGUUUUAGCUAGGUUAUUUCUUGAAUCAAGUCUUCUUCUAAAUUCUUCUUUCAAAUACCGGAGUAGACUCCUAGGUAGGAGUGUAAAACUUUGUCUUUUCACCAGAAUAGAUUGUGGAUUUAAUAAUAAGAAUAAGAAUAAGAAUUUUAUUAGUCUAAAAUCCAAACAAUAGGAUUGUUAUAUAUAUAAUUACUAAAAUACAAAACAAACAAACAAACAGACAGGCAUAUUAAUUACAAAAUGAUAGACAUUAAACACUACAAACAUGUAGCAUUGAAAGAAAUACAAAAAAUAUAGAUUAUUAAUAUUAAUUAUACUAUUUUUGACAGCAUGCCUCCUCUUUAAAAGUAUCAAUUCAAAUAUUAUAUGCUUAUAUAUAACAUUAUAAGUUGAGCCAUCAAUUACACAGUUCAUAUAUUAACAUUAUAAGUUGAGCCAUCAAUUACACAGUUCAUAUAUUAACAUUAUAAUUGUUUCUCUGAAUUUAAUACGCCUUAAUGACACAAUUUACCAGAUAAAAGGUGGGCCUGUAUCCCUGCACAUUUAAAGUUGCAUGCACUUUCAGAAUCGUUAAUCUGCAGACUAGACUAGAAAUAAUUGAUUCUCUGUAACACAAUCAUUCUAGAUAUUGAUUAAAUUAUAUACAAAUUUUGAUAGAUGAAUGUAAUUAAUUGGAAAUUCUUUUCAUCUAAACAAGGAUUUUUUAUGUGAAAGAGAACUUGUUAUUUCUACAAUUUAAAAAAAAAAAAAUCAUGACAGAUCAUUUUUUGGUAUUUUAAAUAGUCUUUUUUUUCAACUUUGCUCCAAAAGAGAGAUAACCUUACUUAUAAAAAGGUGUUAAGUGAAUGUUCCCUUAUCUUUGUUAACACGGAAUAAGUCGAAUCCGGGUCCGUUCGCGCCCAUUCACGUUAGCACCAACUCAUGUUCGCCCUCUUUCACGUUCGCACCCUACAUGUUCGUGCCAAAAUUUAAUUGGUUUUGUGUUUAAUAACUUUGUAAUCAAGUUUUGGCAAGUAUAUUCUUAUAAGUAUAAUUGUUGUCAUUGUCUCAAAAUAAAGUGAAACAGCAUUUUUUUUUGUGUUGAAUCAUGAUGUUUUGGAUAGUGUUUAUUGUUAAAAAAAAAUGAUAAUCCUUUCUUAAUAAAGUGGGAUUCUGUCACAGUUUUAUUUUGUGUUGAAUAACGAGUACUCUUAAUCAUGCUUUGGUUAGUGUAUUGCACAUAGUAGUCUCAGAUUGCUAUAACUAUUACUUUGUUUCAUUGACUUGUUUCAAAAUAAAGUGAGAUUCUGACUAGUUUUUUUUUGUGUGUUGAAUAAAUUUUAUCAAGUUUUGGUUAUAAUAGUGUAUUUCUAUAUUUUAUUGUUUCAUUGUCAAAGGGACCAAGCUGUGUGUUUUUCAUUGUUAAAAAAUCUUCAAUGUUUUACUCAUACCAAGCUAUAAAUACAUUUAGUAUUUACACCAAAGCGAUUUAAAACAAUCUUAUUUUCCAAUUAUUCAACUGGAAUUGAAUAAAUUGGGCGCUGAACGUGUAGAGUGCGACGGACCUUGGGUGCAGGUGCGAACGUGUAGGGUGCGAAAGUGUAUUGGGCGCUAACGGACCUGAUACCGAACAAGUCCUGACUCCAGUGACUCCGAUUUUUUUUUAAUUUUCUAAAAUUAGCCCUAAGAACCACAAUGUACACUUUAUUAUAUUUUUGAUAAAGCAUGAUAUAAACUUCAUUUUGGCCAAGGAUUUGGCAAUUCUUGCUUUGGUAAAUUAUUAGAUAUUCUAUUCAUUUAAUUGUUCUCCUUGAAAAUAAUUUAGGUUGUCCCUAAAUGUAAAAAUAGUAAGUUAUAUUUUCAUUAUUUUUGCAUCAGAUGAUAGAACUGAAUCGUAAAAAAGCUUCUACCAUUCAAGUUUCUUAAAAUUCUAUGUAGGUAACUGACAAAGUAAUUGAAAAGUUGAUGUAGAAACAUUAACCCUAUACUAACUAUUUUAUUGAUAAAAAAUUUGGAUUUUUAAACAAAUUAUUUGUUGAUAAAGUUAAGCUUAUAUUUUUUAUAUCUAAAGUUUAGCAUGUAAAGUGGGUCUCAUUGGGGUCUAAGCGUGAUGCGGGAUUGCUGAUUUUUUGUAAGCGUGACACGUGAAAGUCAAAUUAUUGUGCCGUGAAAACGGGAAAUGAAGUCUAGCGGGACACGGGAAAUUACAAAAAAUGAUAAUUGCUUACAUAUAUAGUGUAAGCAGGAUACGGGAAUCUGACAUAACAGUAAGCGGGAUCCGGGAUCAGAACCUCCCAAUGAGACCCCCUGUUAAGCUACUACCCACAUUUUUUUAGUAACAAAAUGAUUUUUGAAGAUAUAAAUGAUCAAUUUUAAAUAAAGGCAAAAAAAUAAAAUGGCUAGCUAACAAGGUCAAAAGCAUGAUAAAGUCAACAAAUGUACAUGUAUGCAUGUAUAAAUAUAAGCACAUCAAUUAAAACAGACAAAUUGUUAAAUUAGAAGUAAACAUAAUAUCAAUAAUCCUAUAAUGUAGUUAUUUUGUAUGAUACACUCAUUUAAAUGUUUUGAAAGGUAAAUUCCUAAAUGCCUAAGUUUCUCAAUUAUUGGUUUACACAUAAUUUUUUCACAAAUAUUUUUUUUCAUUAUAAAAAAAUAAUGAACAACGUUAUCUGUAGAUGAACGCCAGUGAAGUUGUCAAAACUCUUUAAUUAUCGAAUGUCAUGUGUACACAAGUUUGCCAAUGUUGGUCGUCCAUUUUGCCCUCGCUUUGCAUGAUGUGUAAAUACGCAGUCACGUCUGGUCAGAAUGGGGACAUUUAAUCCAAUGCCUAGUUGAAGAGAGAAUGUCACUCUUCAUGCUCUUUGAGGAGUUCGUAGUUAGUCUACUGAAAGGCAAAAUUUCUGCUCCUAUCCAAGUAAUCUAUCAUUUUCCAAUUCAUGCCAUUUUCAAAUUUCCAGACCUUCGUUCCAUACGGCACCUAUUACAGGACCUAGCUACCUCUUGCAUUUGUUGUAAAAAAAAAAUUUGUCCUGAAUUUGCAUAAAUAUUUGACACUGGAUUUUUAAAAAUCAAUCAAUCAACUAGCUUACAGUAAGGGGAGGGGGUGUCUUUGCCCCCCUGAACCCCCUACCAGGGCUCUGCCCUGGACCUGAUGGGGCCUUCUAUGGCCCCCUGACCCCCUGCCGAUUUGUGCCUAGAGGUGACUGAAUACCUAGCUACGCCCAUGUAUGUACAUGUAUUAUAAAACUUUUGGUUCAUUAUCUUCAGUUUCUCUUCACAGAGGUUGAUGCAUUAUUAACUUUCGUCUACUUCAUUUUAGGAGUGAGCACAAGCUAACAAUGGAUGCUGACAGAGUCCUGCAGAGUCUUGGGAAUUAUGGUCGUUUCCAGAUCUUAGUGUUCCUUUGUCUGUGCUUUAUCUACAUGAGGGGAGCAUGGCCUGUCCUGGGAAGUAUAUUCCUAGGAGGAGUACCAGAUUAUUCUUGUAAAAAGCUUGCUGAUGUAAAUAAAACUGUUACUUAUGGAGCUUGCGAUGUCACUGUUAGUAUUGAUGGACAGA